rnacentral:rRNA from 1 species
UACGUAGGCAGCAAGCGUUGUUCGGAAUUACUGGGCGUAAAGAGUGUGUAGGCGGUGUUCUAAGUUUGUCGUGAAAUCUCCCGGCUUAACUGGGAGGGUGCGGCGAAAACUGGAAUGCUAGAGGAUGGGAGAGGUAAGCGGAAUUCCUGGUGUAGCGGUGAAAUGCGUAGAUAUCAGGAAGAACACCGGUGGCGAAGGCGGCUCGCUGGGCCAGUUCUGACACUCAUCCGCGAAAGCGUGGGGAGCAAACAGG